rnacentral:misc_RNA from 1 species
CCUUCUGCAGUAUUCAACACAAAUUUAUAAUCAUAAAUGUACCUUGUUAUCGAUAAGGGGAGAAUCGUCAGCAAACCAUGUAUCCUGCCUCUCGGAUUGGCAAUGAGCGAAGCAAGAGUUUAUGAACAACCCACUUUGUGUUGAGGCACCGAAGCCUUUAAUAGCAUUUAGCAUAUCAUUUCUGAAAUCUUGUAGAAAUUGAAUUUGUGAUGCAGAACAUUUUUUGUAAUCACGUUUACAAUCAUGCCACAACCCAUGAGGAUCGGCUACUGGAGGAGCCAAACUGGAUUGAAUCUGCCAGAAAUCAUAGGCAGCAUUUAGAAGAAAUAAUGGAGUCUUGAUAUUGCCGAUCAAAUUCUGAGGAAAGAAGCAAGAGGUUGGAUCAAGUUUGUUGGUACAAUUACUUGGUAACAUCUUCUGAAGACCCUGUACGCUUACUACGCCUUUAAAAACAUCUCUAAGUGCGUGCCCACCAGAUACAUCAGUUGCAUCCAUAAAUAAUCCGGCAUCACUUAGGCACUUCACUUUGGUACUACUUGGGAACAGAGUGCGGAACUCAUCGCAAUGCAAUAUUGAAGCUAGACCACCAGCAGAACAUCCAGAGAGUAGAGCCUGCUGGGCAUUUUGCAUUCCUUUCGACAUUAACUCCGCCAUUGCUGCUUCCCAUAUACGUUGACCUCUAAAUUGCAGUUGUGCAUCCUUAUUUUCACUGUCCCCUGUAAAGGAGGCCCCAUCGCAGUAACGAACUUUUACUCUAUUCCAGUUAAAAAAAUCUGGAUUUUCUUCAGCCUUGUUACUCAGAAUCCCAGUAAAUUGAAUCUGUUUCUCCAUGAAUUUUGAUGAGCCACGCCUGGUCGUUUUGCGGAAAACACAAUUUCUGACGGUGUUACACCAUCCUCCACCCUCCAAUUGAAUGAGCCAACUGUUUGCCCCUGACCCAGAACCAGGAUGUAUGUGAUAACCUGGUAGAGUUCCAUCCAGACACACAGCUCCUUUAGCAGCAGCUCCCUGAAUGAGGGUAAGAGCAAUCAAAAGAGGAGUUGGAGUAAUGGCACCAUCACCAGAAGAGGUUUUCAUGAAAAUGGAAUCUUCAAAUUCAUGUGAAUCUACCCAUUUGCUAAGUACCAAAAACACAACAAAAACUACACCCCAAAACCCCCUCAG